UACAGAGGAUGCAAGCGUUAUCCGGAAUGAUUGGGCAUAAAGCGUCUGUAGGUGGCUUUUUAAGCCUGCCGUCAAAUCCCAGGGCUUAACCCUGGACAGGCGGUGGAAACUACCAAGCUGGAGUACGGUAGGGGCAGAGGGAAUUUCCGGUGGAGCGGUGAAAUGCGUAGAGAUCGGAAAGAACACCAACGGCGAAGGCACUCUGCUGGGCCGACACCGACACUGAGAGACGAAAGCUAGGGGAGCAAAUGGG
rnacentral:rRNA from 1 species